CCUACGGGUGGCAGCAGUGGGGAAUAUUGGACAAUGGGCGAAAGCCUGAUCCAGCCAUGCCGCGUGUGUGAAGAAGGCCUUCGGGUUGUAAAGCACUUUCAGUGGGGAAGAAAGCCUUGGGGCUAAUACCCUCGAGGAAGGACAUCACCCACAGAAGAAGCAUCGGCUAACUCCGUGCCAGCAGCCGCGGUAAUACGGAGGGUGCGAGCGUUAAUCGGAAUUACUGGGCGUAAAGCGCGCGUAGGCGGUCUGAUAAGCCGGUUGUGAAAGCCCCGGGCUCAACCUGGGAACGGCAUCCGGAACUGUCAGGCUAGAGUGCAGGAGAGGAAGGUAGAAUUCCCGGUGUAGCGGUGAAAUGCGUAGAGAUCGGGAGGAAUACCAGUGGCGAAGGCGGCCUUCUGGACUGACACUGACGCUGAGGUGCGAAAGCGUGGGUAGCAAACAGGAUUAGAUACCCCAGUAGUC
rnacentral:rRNA from 1 species